UUCCGGUUGAUCCUGCCGGAGGCUACCGCUAUUGGAGUUCGAUUAAGCCAUGCGAGUCGAGAGUCUUAGGGACUCGGCGUACCGCUCAGUAACACGUGGGUAACCUGCCCUAUGCUGGGGAAUAACCUCGGGAAACUGAGAAUAAUGCCCCUUAGUCCACCAUGCCUGGAACGGUUGGUGGAUCAAAGCUCCGGCGGCAUAGGAUGGGCCUGCGGCGUAUCAGGUCGUAGGGGGUGUAACGUACCCUCUAGCCAUCGACGCGUACGGGUGUUGGGAGACAUAGCCCGGAGAUGGAUUCUGAGACACGAAUCCAGACCCUACGGGGUGCAGCAGGCGCGAAAACUUGGCAAUGCGAGAAAUCGUGACCAGGGAACUCCAAGUGGCUGGGGUAAGACCCAGUCUUUUCUUGACUCUUCAACGGUCUUGGAAUAAGGGGUGGGUAAGGACGGUGCCAGCCGCCGCGGUAAUACCGGCGCCUCAAGUGGUAGUCGAUUUUAUUGGGCCUAAAACGUCCGUAGCCUGUUUGGUACAUUCGUGGGUAAAUCAACCAGCUCAACUGAUUGAAUUCUGCGAGCACGGCCAGACUUGGGACCGGGAGAGGUGUGGGGUACGCUCAGGGUAGGGGUAAAAUCCUGUCAUCCUGAGCGGACCACCUGUUGCGAAGGCGCCACACUAGAACGGAUCCGACGGUCAGGGACGAAGCCUAGGGGCACGAACCGGAUUAGAUACCCGGGUAGUCCUAGGUGUAAACGCUGUGGACUUGGUGUUGGGGACUCUCCGAGAUUCCUCAGUGCCGAAGCGAAGUGAUAAGUCCACUGCCUGGGGGAGUACGGUCGCAAGGCUGAAACUUAAAGGAAUUGGCGGGGGAGCACCGCAACCUGAGGAUUGUGCGGUUUAAUUGGAUUCAACGCCGGGUAAUCUCUGGAGGAUCCGCGCGU
rnacentral:rRNA from 1 species